rnacentral:rRNA from 1 species
AGAGUUUGAUUAUGGCUCAGGAUGAACGCUAGCUACAGGCUUAACACAUGCAAGUCGAGGGGAAACGAUAUUGGAAGCUUGCUUCCGAUAGGCGUCGACCGGCGCACGGGUGAGUAACGCGUAUCCAACCUGCCCAUCACUUGGGAAUAACCUUGCGAAAGUAAGACUAAUGCCCAAUGACAUUUAUAGAAGGCAUCUGAAAUGAAUUAAAGAUUUAUCGGUGAUGGAUGGGGAUGCGUCUGAUUAGCUUGUUGGCGGGGUAACGGCCCACCAAGGCGACGAUCAGUAGGGGUUCUGAGAGGAAGGUCCCCCACAUUGGAACUGAGACACGGUCCAA